AUUGAACGCUGGCGGCAUGCCUUACACAUGCAAGUCGAACGGCAGCAUGGAGAGCUUGCUCUCUGAUGGCGAGUGGCGAACGGGUGAGUAAUGCAUCGGAACGUACCGUGUAAUGGGGGAUAACGUAGCGAAAGUUACGCUAAUACCGCAUACGACCUGAGGGUGAAAGCAGGGGAUCGCAAGACCUUGCGUUAUACGAGCGGCCGAUGUCAGAUUAGCUAGUUGGUGAGGUAAAGGCUCACCAAGGCGACGAUCUGUAGCGGGUCUGAGAGGAGGAUCCGCCACACUGGGACUGAGACACGGCCCAGACUCCUACGGGAGGCAGCAGUGGGGAAUUUUGGACAAUGGGCAACCCUGAUCCAGCCAUGCCGCGUGAGUGAAGAAGGCCUUCGGGUUGUAAAGCUCUUUCGGCCGGGAAGAAAUCGCACAGGCUAAUACUCUGUGUGGAUGACGGUACCGGCAUAAGAAGCACCGGCUAACUACGUGCCAGCCGCCGCCGUAA
rnacentral:rRNA from 1 species